rnacentral:rRNA from 1 species
UUAAGCGACUAAGCGUACACGGUGGAUGCCCUGGCAGUCAGAGGCGAUGAAGGGCGUGCUAAUCUGCGAUAAGCGCCGGUAAGGUGAUAUGAACCGUUAUAACCGGCGAUACCCGAAUGGGGAAACCCAGUGUGACUCGUCACACUAUCAUUAACUGAAUCCAUAGGUUAAUGAGGCGAACCGGGGGAACUGAAACAUCUAAGUACCCCGAGGAAAAGAAAUCAACCGAGAUUCCCCCAGUAGCGGCGAGCGAACGGGGAGGAGCCCAGAGCCUGAAUCAGCAUGUGUGUUAGUGGAAGCGUCUGGAAAGGCGCGCGAUACAGGGUGACAGCCCCGUACACAAAAGCGCAUGUGCUGUGAGCUCGAUGAGUAGGGCGGGACACGUGGUAUCCUGUCUGAAUAUGGGGGGACCAUCCUCCAAGGCUAAAUACUCCUGACUGACCGAUAGUGAACCAGUACCGUGAGGGAAAGGCGAAAAGAACCCCGGCGAGGGGAGUGAAAAAGAACCUGAAACCGUGUACGUACAAGCAGUGGGAGCCCCACCACUAAGCCAGUGGUGAACUCCACAUACGCAUCCUUUGCUGAAGGCAAUGGUUAACGGAGCGAAAGCGACGUUCAACCGCAAAACAAGCAGAGGGGGCUUAGUGGUGGGGUGACUGCGUACCUUUUGUAUAAUGGGUCAGCGACUUAUAUUCUGUAGCAAGGUUAACCGUAUAGGGGAGCCGGAGGGAAACCGAGUCUUAAUUGGGCGUUAAGUUGCAGGGUAUAGACCCGAAACCCGGUGAUCUAGCCAUGGGCAGGUUGAAGGUUGGGUAACACUAACUGGAGGACCGAACCGACUAAUGUUGAAAAAUUAGCGGAUGACCUGUGGCUGGGGGUGAAAGGCCAAUCAAACCGGGAGAUAGCUGGUUCUCCCCGAAAGCUAUUUAGGUAGCGCCUCGUGAAUUCAUCUCCGGGGGUAGAGCACUGUUUCGGCUAGGGGGCCAUCCCGGCUUACCAACCCGAUGCAAACUGCGAAUACCGGAGAAUGUUAUCACGGGAGACACACGGCGGGUGCUAACGUCCGUCGUGAAGAGGGAAACAACCCAGACCGCCAGCUAAGGUCCCAAAGUCAUGGUUAAGUGGGAAACGAUGUGGGAAGGCCCAGACAGCCAGGAUGUUGGCUUAGAAGCAGCCAUCAUUUAAAGAAAGCGUAAUAGCUCACUGGUCGAGUCGGCCUGCGCGGAAGAUGUAACGGGGCUAAACCAUGCACCGAAGCUGCGGCAGCGACGCUUAUGCGUUGUUGGGUAGGGGAGCGUUCUGUAAGCCUGUGAAGGUGGCCUGUGAGGGUUGCUGGAGGUAUCAGAAGUGCGAAUGCUGACAUAAGUAACGAUAAAGCGGGUGAAAAGCCCGCUCGCCGGAAGACCAAGGGUUCCUGUCCAACGUUAAUCGGGGCAGGGUGAGUCGACCCCUAAGGCGAGGCCGAAAGGCGUAGUCGAUGGGAAACGGGUUAAUAUUCCCGUACUUGGUGUUACUGCGAAGGGGGGACGGAGAAGGCUAUGUUGGCCGGGCGACGGUUGUCCCGGUUUAAGCGUGUAGGUGUGUGUUCCAGGUAAAUCCGGUUCACUUUAACACUGAGGCGUGAUGACGAGGCACUACGGUGCUGAAGCAACAAAUGCCCUGCUUCCAGGAAAAGCCUCUAAGCAUCAGGUAACAUCAAAUCGUACCCCAAACCGACACAGGUGGUCAGGUAGAGAAUACCAAGGCGCUUGAGAGAACUCGGGUGAAGGAACUAGGCAAAAUGGUGCCGUAACUUCGGGAGAAGGCACGCUGACACGUAGGUGAAGUGAUUUACUCAUGGAGCUGAAGUCAGUCGAAGAUACCAGCUGGCUGCAACUGUUUAUUAAAAACACAGCACUGUGCAAACACGAAAGUGGACGUAUACGGUGUGACGCCUGCCCGGUGCCGGAAGGUUAAUUGAUGGGGUCAGCGCAAGCGAAGCUCCUGAUCGAAGCCCCGGUAAACGGCGGCCGUAACUAUAACGGUCCUAAGGUAGCGAAAUUCCUUGUCGGGUAAGUUCCGACCUGCACGAAUGGCGUAAUGAUGGCCAGGCUGUCUCCACCCGAGACUCAGUGAAAUUGAACUCGCUGUGAAGAUGCAGUGUACCCGCGGCAAGACGGAAAGACCCCGUGAACCUUUACUAUAGCUUGACACUGAACAUUGAGCCUUGAUGUGUAGGAUAGGUGGGAGGCUUUGAAGCGUGGACGCCAGUCUGCGUGGAGCCGACCUUGAAAUACCACCCUUUAAUGUUUGAUGUUCUAACGUGGACCCGUAAUCCGGGUUGCGGACAGUGUCUGGUGGGUAGUUUGACUGGGGCGGUCUCCUCCUAAAGAGUAACGGAGGAGCACGAAGGUUGGCUAAUCCUGGUCGGACAUCAGGAGGUUAGUGCAAUGGCAUAAGCCAGCUUGACUGCGAGCGUGACGGCGCGAGCAGGUGCGAAAGCAGGUCAUAGUGAUCCGGUGGUUCUGAAUGGAAGGGCCAUCGCUCAACGGAUAAAAGGUACUCCGGGGAUAACAGGCUGAUACCGCCCAAGAGUUCAUAUCGACGGCGGUGUUUGGCACCUCGAUGUCGGCUCAUCACAUCCUGGGGCUGAAGUAGGUCCCAAGGGUAUGGCUGUUCGCCAUUUAAAGUGGUACGCGAGCUGGGUUUAGAACGUCGUGAGACAGUUCGGUCCCUAUCUGCCGUGGGCGCUGGAGAACUGAGGGGGGCUGCUCCUAGUACGAGAGGACCGGAGUGGACGCAUCACUGGUGUUCGGGUUGUCAUGCCAAUGGCACUGCCCGGUAGCUAAAUGCGGAAGAGAUAAGUGCUGAAAGCAUCUAAGCACGAAACUUGCCCCGAGAUGAGUUCUCCCUGAGACUUAGAGUCUCCUGAAGGAACGUUGAAGACGACGACGUUGAUAGGCCGGGUGUGUAAGCGCAGCGAUGCGUUGAGCUAACCGGUACUAAUGAACCGUGAGGCUUAACCUU